GGAUGUGGCUCAGCUUGGUAGAGCGCUGCGUUCGGGACGCAGAGGUCGCAGGUUCGAAUCCUGUCAUCC
rnacentral:tRNA from 1 species